UCAUGUCUCUUUUUCUGUUAUAUUGAAGUUUACAUUUGUUAUCGAUUUCGAAUGCAAUUGUUGGAAAGUUUGCAGGGGUUGAUGUUAAACAAGGAAGGGUAUGCUUCUAUAGGAGGUGGUUCACCCUUGCGUAAGAUGACAGAUGAGCAGGCAAAUGCACUGAAAAUGGCUUUGGAAUCAAAGGACAUGCCGGUGAAUGUCUAUGUGGGAAUGCGGUACUGGUUCCCGUUCACUGAGGAAGUUUUUCAUCAAAUUAAGAGGGACAGAAUAACCAGAUUAAGAGGGACAGAAUAACCAAGCUGGUAAUGUUCUUUCUCUCAAGAACAACUUGGGGUUGAGUCUAGAUAAGGAUCAAGUUUCCCAUCAAGAGUUGCUUGAGCUUCUUGCCUCUCGACUACAUGCUGCAAUUGAUAUCCCUGGAAACCAGUUGAGGGGGGG